AGGGAUGAAUCUAUUGAACAGACCUCCAGAAUUGGUUUAUCAUCAACGACUAGCAUGAAACCUUCAAAUUCAGCCUCGUCUUCCAUGUCAUCUCAUAUGGACACUAGCACAUUGUUAACUUCUCGGACACUUUCUGUGACAUCUCCGCUUGGGCUAGGAAACAACGGAAAGACUCCUGUGAAAAAGCCUUCCAUUGGACAGAAGAAGCCCCUUGAUGCGCUAGGUUCCUCACCUCCACCUUCGGGAAAGAAGCAAAAGGUGUCGGGAGGUUUCCUAGAUCAGAGCAUUGAACAACUUAAUGAUGUUACUGCUGUUAGUGGAGUUAAUCU
rnacentral:misc_RNA from 1 species